rnacentral:rRNA from 1 species
CACGUAGGUGGCGAGCGUUAUUCGGAUUCACUGGGCGUAAAGGGUCCGCAGGGGGCCUGCCAAGUCUGUCGUGAAAACCCGGGGCUCAACCCCGGGCCUGCGGUGGAAACAGGCGGGCUGGAGUGUGUGAGGGGCAGACGGAACACCUGGUGUAGCGGUGGAAUGCGUGGAUAUCAGGUGGAACACCGAUGGCGAAGGCGGUCUGCUGGCACACAACUGACCCUCAGGGACGAAAGCGUGGGUAGCAAACAGGAUUAGAUACCCUGGUAGUCCACGCUGUAAACGUUGAGAACUAGAUAUGGUGGGGCUGGCCCCCUCCGUGUCCAAGCAAACGCGAUAAGUUCUCCGCCUGGGGACUACGGCCGCAAGGCUAAAACUCAAAGGAAUUGACGGGGGCCCGCACAAGCGGUGGAGCAUGUUGCUUAAUUCGAGGCAACGCGAAGAACCUUACCCAGGUUUGACAUGCAUAUGACCGGUGGUGAAAGCCGCCUUCCCUUCGGGGCGUAUGCACAGAUGCUGCAUGGCU